AACGAACGCUGGCGGCAGGCUUAACACAUGCAAGUCGAACGAUGUAGCAAUACAUAGUGGCGCACGGGUGAGUAACGCGUGGGAAUAUACCUUAUAGUGGGGAAUAACUUUGGGAAACUAAAGCUAAUACCGCAUACGCCCGAGAGGGGAAAGAUUUAUCGCUAUAAGAUUAGCCCGCGUGAGAUUAGGUAGUUGGUGGGGUAAUGGCCUACCAAGCCUACGAUCUCUAGCUGGUCUGAGAGGAUGAUCAGCCACACUGGAACUGAGACACGGUCCAGACUCCUACGGGAGGCAGCAGUGGGGAAUAUUGGGCAAUGGACGAAAGUCUGACCCAGCCAUGCCGCGUGAAUGAUGAAGGCCUUAGGGUUGUAAAGCUCUUUUACCAGGGAUGAUAAUGACAGUACCUGGAGAAUAAGCUCCGGCUAACUCCGUGCCAGCAGCCGCGGUAAU
rnacentral:rRNA from 1 species